GGCUAUAGCCUUGGGGGGUGGCGCUGCCCAACUUCGUCCGCCGGACUCGGAAUCCCGCGAGACUUUGCGAGGGCCCUCCGUGUGCCAAAAAUAGGCCACGGGCAAAGCCGCGGCCAAAAAUAACCGCCCGAAGGCCGGUGCGCCAAGUUCGUCCUGCGGAAAAAGGCCACAAAAAUGGGUGGGCUAUAGCCUUGGGGGGUGGGGCUGGCCAAGUUCGUCCGCCGGACUCGGAAUGGCGCGAGACUUUGUGAGGGGACUCCGUGUGCCAAAAAGAGGCCGCGGGCGUGGCCGUUCCCAAAAAUAAAUGACCGAAGGCCUGGGCGCCAAGUUCGUCCAGCGGAAAAGGACCAAAAAAACGGGUGGGCUAUAGCCUUGGGGGGUGGGGCCGACCAAUUUCGUCCGCCGGACUCGGAAUGGCGCGAGACUUUUUGAGGGGCCUCCGUGUGCUAAAAAUAGGCCACGGGCACAGCCGCGCCCAAAAAUAACCGCCCGAAGGCCGGGGCGCCAAGUUCGUCCAGCGGGAAAAGGCCACAAAAACGGGUGGGCUAUAGCCUUGGGGGGUGGGGCUGGCCAACUUCGUCCGCCGGACUCGGAAUGCCGCGAGACAUUACGAGGGGCCUCCAUGUGCCAAAAAUAGGCUGCGGGCGUGGCCGUUCCCAAAAAUAAAAGACCGAAGGCCGGGGCGCCAUGUUCGUCCAGCGGAAAAAGCCCAAAAAAACGGGUGGGCUAUAGCCUUGGGGGGUGGGGCCGGCCAAGUUCGUCCGCCGGACUCGGAAUGGCGCGAGACUUUGCGAGGGGCCUCCGUGUGCCAAAAAUAGGCCGCGGGCACAGCCACGACCAAAAAUAAGCGACCAAAUGCCGGGGCGCCAAAACCCCCCAGCAGAAAAAGGCCAAAAACACGGGUGGGCUAUAGCCUUGGGGGGUGGGGCUGGCCAAGUUCGUCCUCCGGACUCGGAAUGGCGCGAGACUUUGCGAGGGGCCUCCGUGUGCCAAAAAUAGGCAUGGGCACAGCUGAGCCAAAAAAUAAGUGACCGAAGNNNNNNNNNNNNNNNNNNNNNNNNNNNNNNNNNNNNNNNNNNNNNNNNNNNNNNNNNNNNNNNNNNNNNNNNNNNNNNNNNNNNNNNNNNNNNNNNNNNNNNNNNNNNNNNNNNNNNNNNNNNCUCCGUGUGCCAAAAAUAGGCCGCGGGCACAGCCGCGCCCAAAAAUAAGAGGCCGAAUGCCGGGCGCCAAAACCCCCCAGCGGAAAAAAGGCCAAAAAAACGGGUGGUCUAUAGCCUUGGGGGGUGGGGCUGGCCAAGUUCGUCCUCCGGACUCGGAAUGGCGCGAGACUUUGCGAGGGGCCUCCGUGUGCCAAAAAUAGGCCGCGGACACAGUCACGCCCAAAUAUAAGCGACCGAAGGCCGGGGCGCCAAGUUCGUCCUGCGGAAAAAGGCCACAAAAACGGGUGGGCUAUAGCCUUGGGGGGUGGGGCUGGCCAAGUUCGUCCGCCGGACUCGGAAUGGCGCGAGACUUUGCGAGUGGCCUACGUGUGCCGAAAAUAAGUGACCGAAGGCCGGGGCGCCAAGUUCGUCCAGCAGAAAAAGGCCACAAAAACAGGUGGGCUAUAGACUUCGGGGGUGGGGCUGGCAAAGUUCGUCCGCCGGACUCGGAAUGGCGCGAGACUUUACGAGGGGCCUCCAUGUGCCUAAAAUAGGCCGCGGGUAAAGCCGCGCCCAAAAAUAACCGCCCGAAGGCCGGGGCGCCAAGUUCGUCCAGCGGAAAAAUGCCACAAAAAUGGGUGGGCUAUAGCCUUGGGGGGUGGGGCUGGCCCAAGUUCGUCCGCUGGACUCGGAAUGGCGCGAGACUUUGUGAGGGGACUCCGUGUGCCAAAAAGAGGCCGCGGGCGUGGCCGUUCCAAAAAAUAAAUGACCGAAGGCCUGGGCGCCAAGUUCGUCCAGCGGAAAAGGACCAAAAAAACGGGUGGGCUAUAGCCUUGGGGGGUGGGGCCGACCAAUUUCGUCCGCCGGACUCGGAAUGGCGCGAGACUUUUUGAGGGGCCUCCGUGUGCUAAAAAUAGGCCACGGGCACAGCCGCGCCCAAAAAUAACCGCCCGAAGGCCGGGGCGCCAAGUUCGUCCAGCGGAAAAAGGCCACAAAAAUGGGUGGGCUAUAGCCUUGGGGGGUGGGGCUGGCCAAGUUCGUCCGCCGGACUCGGAAUGGCGCGAGACUUUGUGAGGGGACUCCGUGUGCCAAAAAGAGGCCGCGGGCGUGGCCGUUCCCAAAAAUAAAUGACCGAAGGCCGGGGCGCCAAGUUCGUCCAGCGGAAAAGGAACAAAAAAACGGGUGGGCUAUAGCCUUGGGGGGUGGGGCUGACCAAUUUCGUCCGCCGGACUCGGAAUGGCGCGAGACUUUUUGAGGGGCCUCCGUGUGCUAAAAAUAGGCCACGGGCACAGCCGCGCCCAAAAAUAACCGCCCGAAGGCCGGGGCGCCAAGUUCGUCCAGCGGAAAAAGGCCACAAAAAUGGGUGGGCUAUAGCCUUGGGGGGUGGGGCUGGCCAAGUUCGUCCGCCGGACUCGGAAUGGCGCGAGACUUUGUGAGGGGACUCCGUGUGCCAAAAAGAGGCCGCGGGCGUGGCCGUUCCCAAAAAUAAAUGACCGAAGGCCGGGGCGCCAAGUUCGUCCAGCGGAAAAAAGGCCACAAAAACGGGUGGGCUAUAGCCUUGGGGGGUGGGGCUGGCCAAUUUCGUCCGCCGGACUCGGAAUGCCGCGAGACUUUGCGAGGGGCCUCCAUGUGCAAAAAAUAGGCCGCGGCCAAAGCCGCGCCCAAAAAUAACCUCCCGAAGGCCGGGGCGCCAAGUUCGACCAGCGGAAAAAGGCCACAAAAAUGGGUGGGAUAUAGCCUUGGGGUUUGGGGCUGGCCGACUUCGUCCGCCCGACUCGGAAUGCCGCGAGACUUUGCGAGGGGCCUCCGUGUGUCAAACAUAGGCUGCGGACAAAGCCGCGCCCAAAAAUAACUGCCCGAAGGCCGGGGCACCAAGUUCGUCCAGCGGAAAAAGGCCACAAAGACGGGUGGGCUAUAGCCUUGGGGGAUGGGGCUGGCCAACUUCGUCCGCCGGACUCGGAAUGCCGCGAGACUUUCCGAGGGGCCUCCGUGUGCCAAAAAUAGGCCGCGGGCAAAGCCCCCGCCAAAAAUAACUGCCCGAUGGCCGGGGCGCCAAGUUCGUCCAGCGGAAAAAGGCCACAAAAACGGGUGUGCUAUAGCCUUGGGGGCUGGGGCUGGCAAACUUCGUCCGCCGUACUCGGAAUGCCGUGAGACUUUGCGAGGGGCCUCCGUGUGUUAAAAAUAGGCCGCGGACAAAGCCGCGCCCAAAAAUAACCGCCCGAAGGCCGGGGCGCCAGGUUCGUCCAGCGGAAAAAGGCCAGAAAAAUGGGUGGGCUAUAGCCUUGGGGGGUGGGGCUGGCCGACUUCGUCCGCCUGACUCGGAAUGCCGCGAGACUUUGCGAGGGGCCUCCGCGUGUUAAAAAUAGGCCGUGGACAAAGCCGCGCCCAAAAAUAACCUCCCGAAGGCCGGGGCGCCAAGUUCGACCAGCGGAAAAAGGCCACAAAAAUGGGUGGGAUAUAGCCUUGGGGUUUGGGGCUGGCCGACUUCGUCCGCCAAAAAUAACUGCCCGAUGGCCGGGGCGCCAAGUUCGUCCAGCGGAAAAAGGCCACAAAAACGGGUG
rnacentral:lncRNA from 1 species